GGGGCUGUAGCUCAGCAGGGAGAGCGCCAGCUUUGCAAGCUGGAUGUAGUCGGUUCGAGCCCGAUCAGCUCCA
rnacentral:tRNA from 1 species